GCAGGAUUGACCCACUCAGCCCCAUAUGAUGAAGACAGUCAUAAGAACAAUGUCUUUUUAGGAGAAAUGUCAUCUUAGGGUGACAGAGUUUACAAAUGACUGAAGCUUUCCCAAGACUUCAGAAGAGUCUGUCCAAUAACAUUAGGAAUAACACCCUCAAGAAGUCACAUCUGCAUUAUCUCAUGAGGCUGCAGUCAUGUCUGGGUCACCACCAUGGAGUUUUUAUAGCCAGAAUCUGAUGUCUUUUCCACAGGACAUAACAGUGACUGAGGAGUGGGAGGGGAAAACCAUGAGCCACACACAGUGGGGUAAGCUGGAAGACUUCAGCUUUGUUGUACACUGAUGGAAAAGGCACCUACUCCCUGUUUAUCAGGACAGGGCCAAAAUGUUUCUGCCACAGUGGAUCUCCUUGGCCAAGUCAUCCUACAACAUGGCCAGAGGUGGUUUUAGGGUACAAGGAACUUCUGGAGGUUGUUUAGCUCAACUUGUUAUUGAAGGCAUGCCUCUGAAUAAUAGCAAGUUCUCUCAUCGAAGGAUGCGGAUCCAGAGCCCAGUGAUACGCUUAGUUAUGUGAUGCAAGCACAAGAUAUGUACACAUCGCUGGUGUGAAUUUGCACGACUUCAAGUAAACUUUACUCUUUCUUCCUUUACUCACAAUGGCAUUAAUCAGUACGACCUCCCUCUCCCACCCCAGAUUAAGGAGUAAUGUUUUAAGAUCCUAUCUUCUACCCCUCUCCGCACUUUGAUGAGCACACCUUUACCAUACCCACUCACGAAACACCAACCCAGACUUGUGUGACCCUUCAGUAACUUUGCUGCAGGCUCAGACAUACUAUCUGUGCUGAUACUGAAGGGCAAAGAAUUUGAGAGAAGACAUGAAGCGAGCAGGGCAGUGUCCUUAUAGAUCUGGUGAAAGCAGCCAGGACACCUUGACAAAUUGCACAUCAAAUUUCAUACACUGAGAACAAUCUGGCUUUCCAGUUGCCAUGAAUAAAGACACAAACCACUCUGGGAGGCUCUGCAGGCAGCAGCUCAGAUGUGCAGGUCAAUCUGCUUUUCAAGUGACAUCAGAACCUCAAGCAAAGCCAAGCUGGUGUCAUUUCUUAUCCCCAAAUCCUGUGUGCUCUGUAUGUCUGUGUACAUAACGUGCUCUGCUUUUCUUAAGGGUACUCUCUAAGCCAAAUCUAUUUUAGGAUUCUCCUCAAAACACUGUAGUUUAGGUCCAGUUUUAAGACUAACCAAGGUUUCUACAUAGGGCAAAUUAAAACUGACAGCUUGGGGCACAGCUGCCAAGAUGAAGUCUGCUUGAGCACCAGCGAUAUUUCCUGGCCCAGAUAAGUCCUUUUCUGCUAUUCCUACAGUCUCCAGAAUGGGCUAUGUAUCCAUUAAGCCGUUGAUGAGAGCAGCAAAUUUACUCCGUUUGCUUUACUACACUUAGGAAAAUCAGCCCUCACUUGCAGAGUCACAACUCCACAUCUCAGGAAAAAGCCUUGCACUGCAUCACAGUUGCCUUUAGGAGGCCUGGGAAGAGAGUCUGAGCUGGGGUAAAACAAGCUGUCCCCGUGCUGCUCACAAGACUAACAAUGCUCUGGCACCUUUGUUCUAACAUCAAGACCAGGGAGGGAAUGGCUGGUGACAAAGUACACCCAGGAAGACUGCAAUGUACCAUCUUAGCAGACAAAUGUGCUGAUACAAGUGCUAAAUUUAUCACACCUGAUUAGGGGUUUAGUGCUUAUAUAGUUUAAACAUUAAUAUUUACCUAUUUAAGCAACGUGCCCUAGUGCAGCCUGUCCACAGAUGUAUUCACCAUGACUGAGUUUGGAGACUUCAUAAGUGCUCUGGGGGAGUUCGGGCUGUAUCAGAAAUUGCUGGUACUGCUCAUCUCCAUCUCCCUACUUCUUAACCCUUUCCAAAUGAUUGGCCAAGUGUUCAUGGUUCUGGAUGAGCCUCAUCACUGCAACACCAGCUGGAUCUGUGCCAUUGGCCCCAACCUGACGGAGGAAGAGCAGCUGAACCUCACCCUGCCCCGGGAUGCGGAUGGGGCGUACGAGCAGUGCUCCAUGUACUCGCCGGUGGACUGGGACCUCGACUCCAUUGUGGCUUAUGGGCUGAACGCCACAGAGAAGUGCAGCAGUGGCUGGGUGUACCCCUCAGCACAAGCACCGUCCCUGCUGACUGAGUUUGACCUGGUGUGUGACAGGAAGGACCUGAAUGACAUCUCCCAGUCCAUCUACAUGCUGGGGCUUCUCCUAGGAUCCAUCAUCUUCGGGCCACUGAGUGACAGAAUAGGCCGUCGGCCUGUAUUUCUGAUCUGCAUGCUCAUCCGUGGCUUGUUUGGUGUAGGAAUUGCCUUUGUGCCCCAUUUCUAUGUGUACAUGGCCUUCAGGUGUGUUGUGGGAGCUGCGGAGGCAGGAAUUAUGAUUAUUGCCUUGGUGCUGGUUACAGAAUGGGUCGGUCUCUCCCAUCGGUCAAAAGCAGUGCUUAUUACUCACUGCUGCUUCGCCAUCGGUCAGAUGAUUGUCCCUGGCUUGUGUUAUGGUAUUCGCAACUGGAGACUGCUGCAGAUUGCAGGAUCUGCUCCUGUGUUUGCUCUUUUCUUCUACAUCUGGGUGCUCCCAGAGUCUGCUCGGUGGCUGGUGAUAAAAGGCAGGAUAGAAGAAGCUAAGAAGGUCCUUCAGAAGGCAGCAUCCAUCAACAAGCGCACCCUCCCACAAGAACUCCUGGAGCAGCUGAAGCCCGAGACUCAGCCCAAGCCUGGAAGCACUCUGGAUCUCUUUCGGGAGAAGCACCUGCGGAAGGUGACUUUAAUCAUGGUUUGCACUUGGUUUGCAGACAGCCUUGUCUACUAUGGGCUGAGCCUUAAUGUGUCAGGUUUUGGUCUGAACGUCUACCUGACGCAGCUUGCCUUUGGAGGGGUAGAGUUACCAGCUCGAUGUGCCUGCAUUUUCCUGCUGCAGUGGUUUGGGAGGAAGAAAACCCAGGCUGUUCUCCUGCUGCUGUCUGGCCUGAUGUGUCUCAUCAUCACUGGCAUCCCUGAAGGUGAACAACUUCUUCCCUUCCCAAGAGCACAGCCCCAGCCAGCUCUGUCCUGGUUCAGAUCCACCUUCCCAGCCCGGCUGGCCACAGACCCACACUCACUAACAGGGGCUGAGCCCCCAGUGUGCUGGCUUCCUCUCUGCAUGGCUUUCUCCUCCUUCAGAGCUAUGCCUAGUCCUUCCACAGCUCCCGGCCCUUGGCAGGCCGUGUCCAUUAUUCACCACCAGCCACUAGACACCACCACCUCCUCUCAGGAGGGUGUACCAGAGGAGUUUUAAAAGCCACCAUGUCUCCCUUCUUUAGACAAAGAGGAAAGCAAAUGCCCCCCUCACCCAUACCUGUUUCCGCCUACACAUUGCCACAGCCUAUACCCUCACCCCUGUUGCUGUGCUAGUGCUGUGAAUAAUGCUGAAGGAAAGCAAGGGGCUGUACUAUGCUUUGAAUCUCAUGAACAUGGUGUUUCCAACUGAGCAGCCCCUGAAGACCUGUAGUCGUUCAGUGGCUUAAUCCAGUUGGAGAUUUAGGAAAUUCUCAUUGUCAGAGUUCUCUUUGCCAGUUCUGCAGAUGGUACUUUCCAGAUUAUGGGUGUGCUAGGAAUAUUUUCCAAUGGGUUAGGUGGUAGAUUUGCUUGGUAAGCCCCUUAGAAAGGGAUGCCCUAAUAAAUCCCACCACAGAGAAUUUUCUUCUCAACUGAACCUUAUCCAUGGAGAUCACAAUGUAGGUCUCUCCUCCUCCCUUCAGACCAGCCUGUAGUGAGCACCGUCCUGGCCACCAUUGGCAAGCUUACAGCCACAGCCUCCUUCUCCACCUCUUACGUCUACUCCGCAGAGCUCUUCCCCACGGUUGUCAGACCAGCGUGGGGCUGUGCUCGAUGUCGG